rnacentral:lncRNA from 1 species
CCCUGGGCAUGUGAGACACGGUCAUUCAGACUGGUGCACGUCUGUCAUGGGACAUUUCCUCUGCUUCCUGAAAUAGAGCUCAACCCUCCUUCCAGAACCCAGUGCAGAAUACGUGACUCCCACUUGGAGAGUCAGCCCCGACGACUUCCAGACUUCGUUUUUGAUCGUUCGUCCCCCGGAAGGAGACUCCCUCACCAGGCGUUACCGUCACACCCUUCUCGAACAGGAAGGAAAAACUAGGCCCACUGAAGAAAAAGAACAAAGGUUGUGCUGCUGCGUCGCCGUGGUCAUACUCAGAAGACUUAACAAAGUGGGGACAUUUAAGGAAACCGUGAAGACAGAGAAAGCUUCCUUCCUUCCACUGUUUAUACCCAGACCUUGCACGGGAAACCCGGGACUCAGGAACACUGAGAAGCAUCGAUGGUGGCCGAGUGCCCCUUGCUGGUUCCCGACUGCUCCCAUAAUUAAGCCCAGAUUCCCCCCAUCACGCACAAGGCCCACCUCCACAUGGCUGAACCUGCCUGUCCAGCCUCCCGUGCCGCCCUCAGCACACAGCCUCCUGGAGCAUCUGGCCUGGGUUACCUUGAUUUUUGUUUUCUGUAUGUUCGCUGUUUCUAAGUAUUUAGUAUUAUAACGUGAAUUUCCAAACUUCGAUGCCUCUGAUUGGAAAUCACUCCUGACACCUUGUAGAAAGUACUCGCUUUUAAAAAAAAUUUUCUUGUGACGUUUAUUUAUUUUUGAGAGAAAGAGACAGAGUGGGAGCAGGGGAGGGGCAGAGGAGAGGGACACACAGAAUCCGAAGCAGGCUCCAGGCUCCGAGCAGUCAGCACAGAGCCCGACGCGGGGCUCGAACCCACGAACCGCGGGAUCAUGACCUGAGCUGAAGUCGGACCCCUAACCGACUGAGCCACCUAGGAGCCCCGAAAGCACUCACUUUUUAAGAUCCUCAUGAGUCCUGGUUCAGCACUGUCCUGUGCAUCCUGGGCGGGCUGAGGGGUCCCCGGCAGCUGGUGUAUCCUUUCUCUCACUGAUGAGGGUUCCUGCCACACAUUUACAGAGUGUCUUUUAUGCACCAUGGGCUGUACUCAGUUUAUCCCAUUUAAUUUUAUGUGAUAAUGUCCUGGGGGCACAUUGUUA